AUGGUUGUUAUUGGUAUAGAUUGUAUCUCAUUUUCAGAAACUGCAGAAUCCAUUUUUAGUGGAGUACAGCAACCAGUAGCAGGAAGUGCUGACUCUAAGCCUGUUGAUGUUUCCCGUCUGGAUCUUCGAAUUGGUUGUAUCAUCACUGCCAGAAAACACCCUGAUGCAGAUUCUUUGUAUGUAGAAGAAGUAGAUGUUGGAGAAACAGCCCCAAGAACGGUGGUCAGUGGCCUAGUGAAUCAUGUUCCUCUUGAACAGAUGCAAAAUCAGAUGGUGGUUUUACUUUGUAACCUGAAACCUGCAAAGAUGAGGGGAGUAGUAUCUCAGGCAAUGGUGAUGUGUGCAAGUUCACCAGAGAAAGUGGAAAUCUUGGCACCUCCUGAUGGAUCUGUUCCUGGGGACAGAAUUACUUUUGAUGCUUUCCCUGGAGAGCCCAACAAGGAGCUGAAUCCUAAGAAGAAGAUUUGGGAACAGAUCCAGCCUGAUCUUUACACUAAUGAUGUAUGCGUGGCUACAUACAAAGGCGCUCCCUUUGAGGUGAAAGGGAAGGGAGUGUGUAGGGCUCAAACUAUGGCCAACAGUGGAAUAAAAUAAAACACUUCAGUUUCUGAAAUACAUUAGAGAAAACAAUAAAAAGAAAUAACAUUUGUCACUCAUAGCUAAAAUAAAAAA